rnacentral:rRNA from 1 species
AUUGAACGCUGGCGGCAGGCCUAACACAUGCAAGUCGAACGGUAACAGAAAGCAGCUUGCUGCUUUGCUGACGAGUGGCGGACGGGUGAGUAAUGUCUGGGAAACUGCCUGAUGGAGGGGGAUAACUACUGGAAACGGUAGCUAAUACCGCAUAACGUCGCAAGACCAAAGAGGGGGACCUUCGGGCCUCUUGCCAUCGGAUGUGCCCAGAUGGGAUUAGCUAGUAGGUGGGGUAACGGCUCACCUAGGCGACGAUCCCUAGCUGGUCUGAGAGGAUGACCAGCCAAACUGGAACUGAGACAAGGUCCAGACUCCUACGGGAGGCAGCAGUGGGGAAUAUUGCACAAUGGGCGCAAGCCUGAUGCAGCCAUGCCGCGUGUAUGAAGAAGGCCUUCGGGUUGUAAAGUACUUUCAGCGGGGAGGAAGGGAGUAAAGUUAAUACCUUUGCUCAUUGACGUUACCCGCAGAAGAAGCACCGGCUAACUCCGUG